rfam:Picea glauca, whole genome shotgun sequence.
UAAAACAAAGAAUUGUGAUCAUCCUUGCAGAUGCUGACACAAUGUGAUUUAUACCCAAUGCUCUUCAUGUGAAAGUGAAGAAAGUCAACCAAGAAUAGUUAAACAACGGUAGUAACUAUGACUCUUUUAAGGUAGAAAUAUGCCUAGUCAUCUAAUUAGUGACAUGCAUGAAUGGAUUAACAAGAUUCCCACUAUCCCUAGGUACUAUCU